rnacentral:rRNA from 1 species
UGUGCUGACGAGUGGCGAACGGGUGAGUAAUGCAUCGGAACGUGCCCAGUCGUGGGGGAUAACGCAGCGAAAGUUGCGCUAAUACCGCAUACGAUCUAUGGAUGAAAGCGGGGGACCGUAAGGCCUCGCGCGAUUGGAGCGGCCGAUGUCAGAUUAGGUAGUUGGUGGGGUAAAGGCUCACCAAGCCGACGAUCUGUAGCUGGUCUGAGAGGACGACCAGCCACACUGGGACUGAGACACGGCCCAGACUCCUACGGGAGGCAGCAGUGGGGANUUUUGGACAAUGGGCGCAAGCCUGAUCCAGCAAUGCCGCGUGCAGGAAGAAGGCCUUCGGGUUGUAAACUGCUUUUGUACGGAACGAAACGGUUCCUGGUUAACCA